CGCUCUUAGGCAUCCUCUAAGCCACAGAUUUACCUGGAAAACAAGACAACUGGGACACAGAGAAAAGUAGGUGUUUGCCAAAGACAGUAUGAUAGCCUCUGGGCUCCCGGGCAUUUGUUCUUUAUACCAAUAACUCAUUUUUAAUCCUUUUAUUUUUACAGUGCCCACAAGCUCACAGGAAACUUUCUAAUUUGUCUUCUUAACUGUUUAUACAUAGUAGCUGUUAUAAGAAUGUAUGAUUAUUAUACUUGGGCACAAUGUUUACUUACAUGUGGAAAUUGUGAAAGAUUGUCCUUACAGCAUGUAACGCAUUUUGUCAAGGUAAAACAAUAUCCCUGCCCCUACCGCCUUGUAAUCAAGCUGCUCGAAAGUGGUGAUAUGACUUCAGAAGUUUCAUCCCUUUCACACCAGAUGACCCUGCACUAAGAGGCUGGUAUGAUUCCAGAGAGAAACCUGGAAGCAAAGCAACCUAGAGCUCUCUGGCGAUAUAUGCUCUGUUUUCAGUAAAAUUAGUUGAAACGUG